rnacentral:rRNA from 1 species
UACGUAGGGGUGCAAGCGUUUGUCCGGAAUUAUUGGGCGUAAAAGAGCUCGUAGGCGGUCUGUCGCGUCGGGAGUGAAAACUCAGGGCUUAACCCUGAGCCUGCUUCCGAUACGGGCAGACUAGAGGUAUGCAGGGGAGAACGGAAUUCCUGGUGUAGCGGUGAAAUGCGCAGAUAUCAGGAGGAACACCGGUGGCGAAGGCGGUUCUCUGGGCCUUACCUGACGCUGAGGAGCGAAAGCGUGGGGAGCAAACAGG